GACGAACGCUGGCGGCGUGCUUAACACAUGCAAGUCAGGGGGCGGGGUAACCCGUCACCGGCGAACGGGUGCGGAACACGUGAGCGACCUGCCCUGGUGUGGGGGAUAGCCGGCCCAACGGCCGGGUAAUACCUCAUACGGCGCCCGCUUUGAAGCGGGAGGCGAAACUCGCAAGAGGCUCUAGGAGGGGCUCGCGGCCUAGAAGCUAGUUGGUGCGGUAACGGCGCAGCGAGGCGAUGACCGGUAGCUGGUCUGAGAGGAUGGCCAGCCACAUUGGGACGGAGAGAGGGCCCAGGCUCCGACGGGAGGCAGCAGUGGGGACAGUAGCGCGAUGGGCGAAAGCAUGACGCGGCGACGGAGGGUGGAGGGUGGGGCCCGUGGGGGUGUACACUCCUGUGGAACGGGACGAAUGCCGCGAAUCGGCGGAGUUGACGGUACCGGGUGAGGAAGCACCGGCUAACUAUGUG
rnacentral:rRNA from 1 species